UACAGGGGGUGCAAACGUUGCUCGGAAUCAUUGGGCGUAAAGCGCACGUAGGCGGUUCGUUAUGUCGGAUGUGAAAGCCCUUGGCUUAACCGAGGAAGUGCAUCCGAAACUGGCGAGCUAGAGUACUAAAGAGGAUCGCGGAAUUCCCGGUGUAGAGGUGAAAUUCGUAGAUAUUGGGAAGAACACCGGUGGCGAAGGCGGCUCACUGGCUCAUUACUGACGCUCAUGCGCGACAGCGUGGGGAUCAAACAGG
rnacentral:rRNA from 1 species